rnacentral:rRNA from 1 species
ACUGCUCAGUAACACGUCGAUAAUCUGCCCUAAGGUCAGGGAUAACCACGGGAAACUGUGGAUAACACCUGAUAAGGAAAGAAUACUGGAAUGUUUCUUUUCUCAAAUUCGAGCCUUAGGAUGAGUUGGCGGCCGAUUAGGCAGUUGGCGGUGUAACGGACCACCAAACCAAAGAUCGGUACGGGCCCUGAGAGGGGUAGCCCGGAGAGGGACACUGAGAUACUGGUCCCAGCCCUACGGGGUGCAGCAGGCGCGAAAACUUUACAAUGCACGAAAGUGUGAUAAGGGAAUCCUAAGUGCUCAGGCUUUGCCUGGGCUUUUGCCAUAUGUAAAUAGUAUGGCGAAUAAGUAGUGGGCAAGACUGGUGCCAGCCGCCGCGGUAACACCAGCGCUACAAGUGGCAAUCACGUUUAUUGGGCCUAAAGCGUCCGUAGCAGGUUUUGUAAAUUUCUUGUGAAACUGCCAGGCUUAACUUGGCAAUGUGCAGGAAACACUGCAAGACUUGAGACAGGGAAGGGUCAGAGGUAUUCCUGAGGGAGCGGUAAAAUGCUAUAAUCUCAGGAGGACCACCGGUGGCGAAGGCGUCUGACUAGAACUGAUCUGACUGUGAGGGACGAAAGCUAGGGGAGCAAACCGGAUUAGAUACCCGAGUAGUCCUGGUUGUAAACGCUGUGAGCUAGGUGUCGCGUAUUCCACGGGAAUGCGCGGUGUCGUAAAGAAGUUACUAAGCUCACCGCCUGGGAAGUACGGUCGCAAGACUGAAACUUUAAGGAAUUGGCGGGGGAGCA